rnacentral:rRNA from 1 species
UGGGGAAUCUUGCGCAAUGCGCGAAAGCGUGACGCAGCAACGCCGCGUGGGGGAAGAAGGCCUUCGGGUUGUAAACCCCUUUCAGUUGGGACGAAGCUUCGCCGGUGAAUAGCCGGCCGGAGUGACGGUACCUUCAGAAGAAGCCCCGGCUAACUACGUGCCAGCAGCCGCGGUAAUACGUAGGGGGCUAGCGUUUUCCGGAAUCAUUGGGCGUAAAGCGCGUGUAGGCGGCCCGGUAAGUCCGCUGUGAAAGUCGGGGGCUCAACCCUCGAAAGCCGGUGGAUACUGUCGGGCUCGAGUGCGGAAGAGGCGAGUGGAAUUCCUGGUGUAGCGGUGAAAUGCGCAGAUAUCAGGAGGAACACCGAUUGCGAAGGCAGCUCGAUGGGACGUUACUGACGCUGAGACGCGAAAGCGUGGGGAGCAAACAGG